rnacentral:rRNA from 1 species
GAGACCUCUCCUAAAAGAGGAGUUUGAUAGGACUGGGGUGUAAGCACCAAGCCUUACGGCGAGGUGUUCAGCCCACAGUUACUAACGGUCGAUUUUUAAACAAG